GGGGGUGUAGCUCAGAGGGAGAGCGGCUGCUUUGCAAGCAGCGGGUCGUCGGUUCAAGUCCGACCACCUCCACCA
rnacentral:tRNA from 1 species